rnacentral:rRNA from 1 species
UUAAGUCAGGCAACGAGCGAGACCCACGCCAACAGUUGCCAGCUCGUCCUCCGGGAUGGUGGGGACACUGUUGGGACCGCCUCUGCUAAAGAGGAGGAAGGAAUGGGCAACGGUAGGUCAGCAUGCCCCGAAUUAACUGGGCUACACGCGGGCUACAAUGGGUGGGACAAUGGGUAUCGACACCGAAAGGUGAAGGCAAUCUCCUAAACCCACCCUUAGUUCGGAUUGUGGGUUGCAACUCACCCACAUGAAGCUGGAAUCUGUAGUAAUCGUGUCUCAAAAUGGCACGGUGAAUAUGUCCCUGCUCCUUGCACACACCGCCCGUCAAACCACCCGAGUGAGGUCUUGAUGAG